GGAGAGAUGUCCGAGUGGUUGAAGGAGCACGCCUGGAGAGCGUGUAGGGUGUUUAAAACGCACCCUCCUGGGUUCGAAUCCCAGUCUCUCCG
rnacentral:tRNA from 1 species